rnacentral:lncRNA from 1 species
GAAAAACAGAGCCAAUAUUUGCCAGUCGGGAGCAGGAGCAGCAGGGGCCAUCAACAGGCUCAAUGGGGCUCUCCGCGCUGCUGAGGACUCACCAGGUCUCUGCAGCAGUUGCCCGCAGUCGUUAGUGUUUUGUUCUGCAGUUUAUGAACUUGCUUGAGUUCAUUUUGUGGACAAAAGCUAGCAAUCCAAACCCCAGCUGUCUCCCUGCCCUCAGCAGUGAGGGGCUGCUGGCUCCUCCAGUUUUGCAGAGCAGCGCUUCGGCAUUUCAAAGAAUUUCCUAAUUCGCUCAGUCUGGAGAGGAUCAAACCGCGGGCUGAUGAAAGUGAGCACGGCUCUGGCAGGGCCAGCACUCCCUCCCGGCCUUCAGUGCAGCCAGCUGCCUCACCGGCCCUGCAGAUGGACAAAGAGACAGAGCCCUGCACAAAAAAAGUGGCAGCCAGGGGCCCACGGGCACCUCAGUAUCAGCAGGCACUGGAGCCCAGGUGCCCCAGCAGCAGGGGGAGGAUGCUCUCGCCUCUGCCUUGUACCGCAGCGGACCCGGAGGCCGGCGCAAAUAUUAAACCUCUGUCCCUGUCCCUGCCUGAGCUGAGCCCUGCUCCCACCCCAGCCCAUCCGCAAUUCCCUCGUCCCAGUGGUGGAGGACAGGGGACGCAUCUGCCAGCCCGGCUCAGUGGCCCAGGAAGUUGGGGGAUGCGGAUUUGGGAUGCUGGGGGGAGAGUGCUGAGGCUCAUCUGUGGUCUCACCCUCAUCCAUGGGCUGGCAGCUCUCCUUGAUCUGGUGCAACUGCCUCAUCCCCAGGGCUUUUCUCAUCUCCUGAUCGUAACAUAAUCAUGUGAGUGUUCAAUUUCAGGAAAACAAAACAAACCAAAAUUGCAAGCAGAGCUACAGUACUGAAACCGAUUAAUUCUGAAUUCCCACAAUGCAGGCGAACGUGAAAUGAAAGAAAGACCAGUCACUAUGUCGUAAAUACAGGCUGUCGUGUUUUCAAAGUUAAAAUACUGUGGAAUAACCCUUGCCACACAACAAUUUCUACAAGCUAUAAAACCUGACUCUAAAUCCAUGUGUUGUAAACUUCUUGACUGAAAAAGUGACAUAAAGACACAAAUUCAGCGUUCACAUGGGACUUUGGGAUUUUAAAAAUAUUCAAUCAUAUCUUUAUCUGACAGUAUCGAACUGUACCUUUAACAAGCUCAUACUGUUACACAUCACUUUUAAUUUACAUGUGAAAAUUUCACAAAUAAUGUAUACAAAGGUAGCCAUGUUGUAGUUUUGUUGCCAUAGCAACAACAACUUAAUAUAAUUAGUUAACAAUGAAUCUAUCAUUGUAGGAGUUACAUACAAAGUUAAUUUUGUUCUUAAACUGUAAACUAUACAAACUAGUUAUGGACUGUAUUCUAUACCUUACCAUGCUUCAGUGUUGGUUUAGAAUAUAACUAAAUGGGUUGAAUACAUGUAGUAAAAAUUUUAAACUUUCUCUAACUCUCCUUCAAAAUUAAAUUCAUUAGUUACUAAAGAUAUCAAAAAAGCAAUAAUGAAAACCUUAAAAACUAAUGGCAAAGAAAUGAAAAUAUAUGACAUGAAUUAAUGCGUUGUAGCCUAGUAACAAUGUGUUGUAGCUAUAUUUACAUUUGGAUUAGGCUAUCAACUAUUUUUUUUUUUUAAUGUUAUUACAGUCUUUAACAUACAGUAUAUACUCUAAGGCCUUCAACAGGCACAUGGUAAAAUCAGGUCAAUAUCAAACUAAAUCCAUUCAACAGGAAUGGGAAAUUAGAUUUUCCUCAUAAAUUUCACCUUUUUCAAUUUUCAUGUAUGUGAAAUGUACAAGGGAUUAAAAAAAAAAAUGAGGACUCCAGUUUCUCAAUCGUUGUGUACUAGCAUGUCCUAGAGCUACUCUACUGCGUUAGCAAGGAGCCUGCAAGGUGGAGAAGACAUCUCAUCAGACACACGCGUCUCCUUAUCCGACCCGAUGCACCUUACAAGAGACACAUACCCAUCUCCAUCGCUGCCUGUACGGUUUGCACAGCUCCAGCCGCUCGGGCAGGACUUUCGCCGUGGUCCGCAGCCGACCGCACGCUGGGAGGACCCCACCGCAGGAAUCCGAAGCUCCGCAGCCGCUGCCGGAGCCGCGGCAGGAGCACGGCGCUUGUGGUUUGCAGAGCGCGCGGCCAGCCCGCCCGCGCCGCUGUUCGUGAACACUCCGAGCGCAGUGCGAAACGACACGUAUGGCAGAGAGGAAAGUGCUUCAGAGUGUUCAGGAACGGGGCCGGCGCGGGCUGGCCAGGGAGGUAAUGGUUUCUAGAACAUCACGAUGCAAAAAUACAAAGUCAAAAAUCAUCAGCUAGAAACUUCCAACUAAAAAACACGGCUGAUUGUGAAAUCAUGUUCCAAACUACUAAAAACACUGUAUUUAACAAAAAUAAUCUUAAUAGUUUUAUGAAUCCAUUUUAUUUUAAAUCCCUCUUUUAUUGUCUGCUUAUGUUACAGUUUAGUAGUAGUACUUAUUAUUGAAACUACUAACAACCUUUUCGUGAAAAUGAUCAAUCUCAGCUUUCAUUUUCCCUCUGCAUGACCCGUUUUAUCCAAGUUUCAGCAUUUCUUGCAUAUUGUUUGCAUAAGGCUGAGAGAAAUGGACAAAGAGAAAUAACUUUGGAUAAAUAAAAAAUAUAGGUUCAUGGAAAGUGGGAAGCUU